AAUGGUAUAGCUCAGUGGUAGAGCGCAUGCCUAGCAUGCGUGAGGUCCUGGGUUCGAUCCCCAGCACCUCCA
rnacentral:tRNA from 1 species